UACGGGGGGGGCAAGCGUUAUUCGGAAUUACUGGGUGUAAAGGGCGCGUAGGCGGCCGAUUAGGUCAGGUGUGAAAUCCCUCGGCUCACCCGAGGAACUGCGCUUGAUACCAUUCGGCUUGAGUACAGGAGAGGUGGGCGGAAUUCCAGGUGUAGCGGUGAAAUGCGUAGAUAUCUGGAAGAACACCGGUGGCGAAGGCGGCUCACUGGACUGUCACUGACGCUGAAGCGCGAAAGCGUGGGGAG
rnacentral:rRNA from 1 species